UUCAGCUAAGAAAUAUUUGGUUGACAAAAAAAAAGAAAAAGAAAAAACCCAGAUAUUUCAAAUUGUGGCCUGUUGGAAUAUGUGGGUUUUACUCAUAAUGUACUAAGCAAAUACAAGCGAGAUGCCAUGGAGAACAGAUCCAAAAAAUGAAGGACAGGAUCUCUGAUAAAGAGUUUUAGGAAUCCCAGAAAUGAGAGCAGCAUGUUGGGAAGCGGCAAAGGUGUAUUUUUGUCAUACACACAGAGUUAUAGAGUCAAAAAGUACUUUUUUUUUCAGGUAUCUGUACUUUACAUUGAGUAUUUUUUACUUCCUAUCUGCACUUUCUACUCCUUAUAUUUUCCAUGAUGAAAAAAAUAAAGAGGGAAAAAACUCACCUCUAACACAAAAAGUGUCAGUAAUUCACCAUUCAGUUGGAGCCAACCCAAGCAAAGCAGACCAAGAAAAACAUAAUGGAGGCCUUAACCUGAGAAACAUCACAAACAACAGGAACACAUUCAGAGACGCAAGACAUUUCCCCAUGUGUAGCCUUGUUUUAAAAAAUCCUUCCAUGUUGUUGGAUCACUUAACGAUUAGUGACAAAUUUGCUGUGUUUUGAGCAAAAUAAAUGAUUCUGACGGAGUUUUGGUUUGAAGAUAAACUAGAAUGUAUAUGCAUAUAUUUUUUUUAUUUCUAUACUAACAGAGCGUGUUGUGAGAAAAAGUAAAUUUUUUUAUGGUUAGUAUUUUGUAUGAGUAGGACAUUUUUACUAUUUUAAACUUAUUGAAAGUGAGUUUGACACCGCUUUACUACUUUUCAUACAAGUCUCUGUUUAUAACUUUAACUUGAAAUAAAUUCCAGAAACAAAAUCACUGGGGAUUUGUUUUUUUUUAAAAAUUAUUCUUUUUAGCAUGUGUAACAGAGUUUUAUCUUAACACUAUAAAUGUGAAGUUUGUCAGAAUUUAUUUAUUCUUUUAAUCGAUUUUAUUUAGUCAAGAAGUUGUUUUUCCUGAUAUUUAUUGACGUAUUAAGUUCUGUACUGCUGCUCUUGGCAGUUGGUGGUUACCAUAGCAACCGGUAACUGACAGCUCCUCCGUUUUUUCUGUUGCCGUCAAUAACUGUGAAUAAAUACAGCGAACCUGAAUGUGUCUGUUGUGAAGUCCAUCUCCUGGACCUGAGACGAACAAAGAUGGGUUACACAUGAACUCCAAAAAAAGUGCAUGUAGGUAAUCCUCCAGGUCUGUAUUCAGCUCAGCACACCAGCUCCUGUGUGACUUCUCAGAGGAUGGCUACAAUUAUUGAUGACAGUGGAGAAGAUUGCUAUGCAUGGCCUGUACAGGAUGCCAUCAGAGACGUCGCUGCGGCCCACAUCUGAAGGAGAUGACUUGGCAAAAGAGGUAAGAUUCUGUCUCUUAUUGCUUAGGUCAGCUGAAAGUUGUGUUAUUAACCAGAAUGAAGGGUUGGAUGGAGGGAAUAAAAGGAGAAAUCAGAGGAAUAACUCAAGUACAGCCGUUUUACAGCUAAAAACAUAAAGAGCUUCUGAUCCCAUUCCAAAGAUUUGGGUGGAAAUAUAACAAAAGGGAAAAUAUACAACAAAACUAUUCGCAGCCCUUGAAGUUACUGCCACACUAAAGCCACACAGUAAUGAUUUCACUGGGAUUUUAACUGCAUCAUCAACACAAAGAAAAGCCCAACUUUGAAAAGGAGUUCAAAAGACGCCGGAUUUCAAAACUUCACACAGAUUAAAACCUGUUUGUAUUCAGCCCCUUUAAUUGGAUACAAGUCAUUAAGUUAAAACAUGCAAACUGAUGCUGUGAACCAACUAGGUUUUAUAGAUCAAACUUGAGGUCUGUGGGCCUUUUCUGGCCCGCCAACGCUAUUCAUGUGGCCCUUGGCAGUAAACGAAUAAAAACUGCAUUAAUUUGAUUGAUAACAAAAUUUUAAAACACUUUGUAUCUAGUGUAGAACUCAGAGGACCAGAUAAAAAGCUAUGGUGGGCCAGAUUUGGCCCACAGGCCUUGAGUUUGACACGUGUCCUAGAGGUUUAUUAGGCAAUAUUAAUGAACACAGCAGACAGGACAGGGAUACAUUCAUAACAAUGUUUAAAGCAAUAUCUCAAGUUUUUCCAUUGCAGAAAACCUCAAUCAAUCUUCUGAAAAUGGAAAGAGAAACACAACGUUUGGCCUAAAUGCAGGAUGGCAGCAUGGCCACACACAGCAGUGGCAGCAUCAUGCUGUGGAGUUUUUUUCACUGGAAAACACUCAGAUUGAUAAGAAGAACAAUUAUGUACCACUCUGUGUUGGUAUGUCACAUAAAGUCCAGAUUAAAUACAUGAAUUCAGUGGCUCUGAUGUGACUAAAUAUGAAUAAGUUCAAGAGCUACGAAUACUUUUGUUAUCCAGUUUUGUCACCUUUGCGGUAAUAUUCGGCAGUCAGUGGACAGUAUUUGCUACAAUCAUGAUGUUUAUAUAAAAAAACUCCUCUAAAAUGUAGAAAUGAUACUACAUAAGUUAUAUAGUAACUAAAUAUAAACAACAACCAUUAAAACAAACCUUGUAGGACUUUGUGAUUUAUGUACAGGUACACUGCUAUUCUAACACCUUCACCACAAACCGGACAGGACGCUUCAUGUGGAAAGAUGCUGCUAGCUCCUUUCUCAGCCUAAAUAAAUCCACUCACACUUCAGAUGGAUCGACACCAACAAGGUUUGCUUACUGUUAUCUUGUAUACAAUACAGAACAGACAGAUAAUAGUACUUUGUUAAAUAAUUACAUAAUUUAUCAAGUGUAAUGAUCUGAUACAAGUCAGAGUAGAUUCAGGAACACAGACGUAGUAAUAUUGUUAACAAUUAAAAAUAGAUGCCAACAGAAUAAAUAAAUCCUUUUUAAAGUGCAUUUUUCUUCUUAUCCCUUCGUAGUGAUCAUGUACCAAAGAGUUGGUCAUUGUAGUCUCCGAGAAGUCAAGGCGACGCUGAGUUAGGUUUGGUUCCCAUUCAGAUCAAAACGAGAAAAACAGACAAGAAGAAGAAGAAGAAGAAGAAGAAGAAGCCGUGUCUGGACUGGAAACAAAAGCAGGCCUUAGCAAGCGAAGUCCUCAAAUACGCCGUGGUGUCCCGGGCGAUGUUGGUGCGGCGCAGGAAGAGGACCCACUGUGGCAACAGUUGUGGUCGGCUGGGUAUUCUUCUUCUCUUCUUUCUGCGGUCUCAGCAGACGCUGUAGCCGAUGCUUGAUCAGCUGGUUUCACCGAGAGAACGUCAGCACAGGACGGAGGGCAUACUUUAUGACUGCCUAACUGAGCAACACAUCAUAAGCAAGCUUGUUUCUG